GGACCACUACGAGCAGUAACGACAGAAGCUGACCCUCCGUGGCUGUAAACCUCGGAAAGGCCAUCGGCUUCCCGCCACAGAUAUCCAGACUGCCGAGCUCCAGCCUCAGAUCCCGAGGGUUGGGCUGACAGUGACACGCGGCGAGAUGUCAGACCGCCGCUGUCUCCGAAAUUUACACAAAGUCCCGGAUCGGGGAUGAAGCGGAGUUGUUAAUAGCCGCUGUCCGAGGAGAACAAAGAUGAAGCUGGCCCCUGCUACGGAGACAGAGUUAAUCCAGUUCCCUCAUUCGGAAUAAUCUGUCGUGUCCAUUAAAUGUAACCUGGAGAUCCA